UGGGGAAUAUUGGACAAUGGGCGCAAGCCUGAUCCAGCCAUGCCGCGUGAGUGAUGAAGGCCUUAGGGUUGUAAAGCUCUAUCGGCGGGGAAGAUAAUGACGGUACCCGCAGAAGAAGCCCCGGCUAACUUCGUGCCAGCAGCCGCGGUAAUACGAAGGGGGCUAGCGUUGCUCGGAAUCAAUGGGCGGAAAGCGCACGUAGGCGGCUUACUAAGUCAGGGGUGAAAUCCUGGAGCUCAACUCCAGAACUGCCUUUGAUACUGGUGAGCUUGAGUUCGGGAGAGGUGAGUGGAACUGCGAGUGUAGAGGUGAAAUUCGUAGAUAUUCGCAAGAACACCAGUGGCGAAGGCGGCUCACUGGCCCGAUACUGACGCUGAGGUGCGAAAGCGUGGGGAGCAAACA
rnacentral:rRNA from 1 species